rnacentral:rRNA from 1 species
GACAGAGGGUGCAAACGUUGUUCGGAAUUACUGGGCGUAAAGCGUGUGUAGGCGGUCCACUAAGUCGGGUGUGAAAGCCCUGGGCUCAACCCAGGAAGUGCACUCGAAACUGGCGGGCUAGAGUAUCGGAGAGGUUGGUGGAAUUCUCGGUGUAGAGGUGAAAUUCGUAGAUAUCGAGAGGAACACCGGUGGCGAAGGCGGCCAACUGGACGAAUACUGACGCUGAGACACGAAAGCGUGGGGAGCGAACAGG